UGGGAAGCGACGGGGUGGCGUCCUUGGCACCGGCCGAGUACGCGGGCGCUCGGACGCCCCCGGUCCCCGUUUCUGUGCUGUCAUCGUCCAGAUUCCGGGGAGACGCCGCGCGGGAGGACUGUCCGCCUCUGGACGGAUGGUCCGCGCCCCGGGAGGCAGGCUGCCUGGAGGAUGAAGACACGUGAUGGUUCACCACGGUGGCAGGAAGUGGCUUUUCGUCUUCAGCCUCCUCUUCGCUGUCUUCUUGGCCUCCAGGGCCGCGCCGAUGGUCAGAAGCUGGACCCACUGAGUCAUUGUCGGUAGAGCUGGAAGGCCGGCCAGUGGAGGGUCCCCCAGAAAGGCGCUGUUUGAAGAUAGAAUUGCAGUAGACUAUGGAUCCUCACAGCAUAUAAGGAAGGAGAGAGCUACCAACAUCUGUUGCAAGCUCAGAGAAGCAGGAAGGAAAAUACAGCCCACUCCAGUUUUGGACUUUAUUGACCUGCUGGGUUUUGAUACUGAGCAGAUAAACAAGGUAACUGAAAUUCUUCUGGGUACUGCUGCACUCCAAAACCAUGGAAUACAAACUAUAAAAAUUUUAUGUGCUAUUUAUUCACUGAAAUGGGACCAACUAAAAAUGUCCCAUUAUGCCUGUAAAAUGUUCUUUCCCUGUCAUCAUAAACCCCAAAUUACACAAUGAUAUAAGAUUAA